AUGCGAGCUUAAGCCGUUAGGUGUAGGCGAAGCGAAAGCGAGUCUGAAUAGGGCGCAUGAGUUAGAUGGAUCAGACCCGAAACCGAGUGAUCUAGGCAUGGCCAGGUUGAAGGUUGGGUAACACCAACUGGAGGACCGAACCCACAUCCGUUGAAAAGGAUCGGGAUGAGCUGUGCCUAGGGGUGAAAGGCCAAUCAAACUCGGAGAUAGCUGGUUCUCUGCGAAAUCUAUUUAGGUAGAGCGUCAUCCGAAUACCCCCGGGGGUAGAGCACUGGAUGGGUAAUGGGGCCCCACAGGCUUACUGAUCCUAACCAAACUCCGAAUACCGGGGAGUACUAGAUGGCAGACACACAGCGGAUGCUAACGUCCGUUGUGGAGAGGGAAACAACCCUGACCUACAGCUAAGGCCCCCAAUUCAUGGCUAAGUGGGAAAGCAGGUGGGACGACCAAAACAACCAGGAGGUUGGCUUAGAAGCAGCCAUCCUUUAAAGAUAGCGUAACAGCUCACUGGUCUAAAUAAGGGUUCCUGCGGCGAAAAUGUAACGGGGCUAAAGAUAUGCACCGAAGCUUAGGGUUGCAGUUUACUGCAGCGGUAGCGGAGCGUUCCGUAGGCGAGUGAAGGCGAAGGGUAACCGACGCUGGACGUAUCGGAAGUGCGAAUGCUGACAUGAGUAGCGACAAACAGGGUGAGAUACCCUGUCGCCGAAAGACCAAGGGUUCCUACGCAAUGCUAAUCAGCGUAGGGUGAGCCGGCCCCUAAGACGAGCCCGAAGGGGGUAGUCGAUGGGAACCACGUUAAUAUUCGUGGGCCUGGAGAUGUGUGACGGAUCGCGGAAGUUGUGAGUCCUUAUUGGAUUGGACUUGCAGCCAAGUGGUUCCAGGAAAUAGCCUCUCCAUAUAGACCGUACCCGAAACCGACACAGGUGGUCAGGUAGAGUAUACCAAGGCGCUUGAGAGAAGUAUCCUGAAGGAACUCGGCAAAUUGCCUCCGUACCUUCGGAAGAAGGAGGCCCCAUCUUAAGGCAACUUUUGGUGGGGGGCACAGGCCAGGGGGUAGCGACUGUUUAUCAAAAACACAGGACUCUGCUAAGUCGGCUUCAAGACGACGUAUAGGGUCUGACGCCUGCCCGGUGCCUGAAGGUUAAAAGGAGGGGUGAGAGCUCCGAAUUGAAGCCCCGGUAAACGGCGGCCGUAACAAUAACGGUCCUAAGGUAGCGAAAUUCCUUGUCGGGUAAGUUCCGACCUGCACGAAUGGCGUAACGACU
rnacentral:rRNA from 1 species